GACGUAGGGCGCGAGCGUUUGUCCGGAUUUAUUGGGCGUAAAGAGCUCGUAGGCGGCUUGUUGCGUCGAACCUGUGAAAACCCGUGGCUCAACCAUGUGGUCUGCAGUCGAUAGCGGGCAGGCUAGAAUUCGGUAGGGGAGACUGGAAAUUCCUGGUGUAGCGGUGAAAUGCGCAGAGUAUCAGGAGGGAACACCGGUGGCGAAGGCGGGUCUCUGGGCCGAUAAUUGACGCUGG
rnacentral:rRNA from 1 species